rnacentral:rRNA from 1 species
CCUACGGGAGGCAGCAGUGGGGAAUUUUGGACAAUGGGCGCAAGCCUGAUCCAGCCAUGCCGCGUGCGGGAAGAAGGCCUUCGGGUCGUAAACCGCUUUUGUCAGGGAAGAAACGCUCUGGGCUAAUACCCUGGGGUAAUGACGGUACCUGAAGAAUAAGCACCGGCUAACUACGUGCCAGCAGCCGCGGUAAU